ACGGGGUGCAGCAGGCGCGAAAACUCCACAAUGCGCGAAUGCGUGAUGGGGUUAACCCGAGUGCCGUCCGAUGAGGAUGGCUUUUCUUCAGUCUAAGGAUCUGGAGGAAUAAAGGGGGGGCAAGACUGGUGUCAGCCGCCGCGGUAAUACCAGCCCCCUGAGUGGUAGGGACGAUUAUUUGGCCUAAAGCGUCCGUAGCCGGCUUAGCAAGUCUUUCGUCAAAUCCAACGAUUCAAUCGUUGGGUCGCGGAAGAUACUGUUAGGCUUGAGGACGGGAGAGGUCGACGGUAGUCCCAGGGUAGGGGUGAAAUCCUAUAAUCCUGGGAGGACCACCAGUGGCGAAGGCGGUCGACUAGAACGUGCCUGACGGUGAUGGACGAAAGCUGGGGGAGCGAACCGGAUUAGACACCCGGGUAGUCCCAGCUGUAAACGAUGCGAGCUAGGUGUUGGAGCAACUACGGGUUGCUCCAGUGCCGCAGAGAAGUUGUUAAGCUCGCCGCCUGGGAAGUACGGCCGCAAGGCUGAAACUUAAAGGAAUUGGCGGGGGAGCAC
rnacentral:rRNA from 1 species